CCCUUGGAGAAUUACAACAAACAUGAGUAGUUGAGUAAAUACAAAAUACGAAAGUGGGUUCGAUGAAGAGGGAA
rnacentral:sRNA from 1 species